ACACGACUACAUUAGAUACCCGUGUAGUCCCAGCCCUAAACGAUGCGCGUUAGGUGUAUCGGUGACCACGAGUCACCGAGGUGCCGAAGGGAAACCGUGAAACGUGCCGCCUGGGAAGUACGGUCGCAAGGCUGAAACUUAAAGGAAUUGGCGGGGGAGCACCACAACGGGUGGAGCUUGCGGUUUAAUUGGAUUCAACGCCGGAAAUCUUACCGGGACCGACAGCAACAUGAAGGCCAAGCUGAAGACUUUGCCGGAUUAGCUG
rnacentral:rRNA from 1 species